rnacentral:rRNA from 1 species
AGAGUUUGAUCAUGGCUCAGAAUCAACGCUGGCGGCGUGCCUAACACAUGCAAGUCGAACGCGAAAGGGGAGCAAUCCCUGAGUAGAGUGGCAAACGGGUGAGUAACACGUGGGUGACCUGCCUUCGAGUGGGGGAUAACGUCCCGAAAGGGACGCUAAUACCGCAUGACAUCCUGUCCUUGGAUGGACGGAGAUCAAAGCUGGGGAUCGCAAGAACCUGGCGCUUGAAGAGGGGCCCGCGCCUGAUUAGCUAGUUGGUGGGGUAAUGGCCUACCAAGGCUACGAUCAGUAUCCGGCCUGAGAGGGCGGACGGACACACUGGGACUGAGACACGGCCCAGACUCCUACGGGAGGCAGCAGUGGGGAAUUUUCCGCAAUGGGGGCAACCCUGACGGAGCAACGCCGCGUGAGGGAUGACGGCCUUCGGGUUGUAAAC